CAAGUCGAACGCGAAUCCCUGGGCAACUGGGGAGGAGAGUGGCGAAAGGGGCAGUAAGGCGUGGGUAACCUACCCUCCGGAUCGGGAUAGCUUCGGGAAACUGAAGGUAAUACCGGGCGACGCAGCGGAAUCGCAUGGUUCUGCUGCCAAAGGUCCGCCGCCGGUGGAGGGGCUCACGUGAUAUUAGCUUGUUGGCGGGGUAACGGCCCACCAAGGCAAAGAUGUCUAGCAGGUGUGAGAGCACGACCUGCGCCACUGGCACUGAGACACUGGCCAGACACCUACGGGUGGCUGCAGUCGAGGAUCUUCGGCAAUGGGCGCAAGCCUGACCGAGCGACGCCGCGUGUGCGAUGAAGGCCUUCGGGUUGUAAAGCACUGUCGAGGGGGAGGAAGCCGCAAGGUUGACCUAUCCCUGGAGGAAGCACGGGCUAAGUUCGUGCCAGCAGCCGCGGUAAGACGAACCGUGCGAACGUUGUUCGGAAUCACUGGGCUUAAAGGGCGCGUAGGCGGGCCACCAAGUCCGGGGUGAAAUCCUUCGGCUUAACCGGAGAAUUGCCUGGGAUACUGGUGGUCUUGAGGGAGGUAGGGGCACGCGGAACUUCCGGUGGAGCGGUGAAAUGCGUUGAUAUCGGAAGGAACGCCGGUGGCGAAAGCGGCGUGCUGGCCCUCUUCUGACGCUGAGGCGCGAAAGCCAGGGGAGCGAACGGGAUUAGAUACCCCGGUAGUCCUGGCCCUAAACGAUGGGUACUAGGUAGUGGACUUGACAUGGGUUCACUGCCGGAGCAAAAGUGUUAAGUACCCCGCCUGGGGAGUAUGGUCGCAAGGCUGAA
rnacentral:rRNA from 1 species